AAUGAACGCUGGCGGCGUGGAUAAGGCAUGCAAGUCGCACGAGAAAUUAAACUUCGGUUUGAGAUUAAAGUGGCGAAAGGGUGAGGAGUACUUGAACAACCUACCCUUGAGUGGGGCAUAGCCCAUCGAAAGGUGGAUUAAUACCGCGUACGAUUCGGUUGGGGCAUCCCGGCCGAAUGAAAGCAGGGGAUCUUCGGACCUUGCGCUCAAGGAUGUGAUUGCGGCCUAUCAGUUUGUUGGUGGGGUAACGGCCUACCAAGGCGAUGACGGGUAGCAGGCCUGAGAGGGUGGUCUGUCACACUGGGACUGAGACACUGCCCAGACUCCUACGGGAGGCUGCAGUCGAGAAUCUUCCGCAAUGGGCGAAAGCCUGACGGAGCGACGCCGCGUGGAGGACGAAGGCCUUCGGGUUGUAAACUCCUGUCACGGGUCAUGAAUGUGCGUGUUAAUAGCGCGUGCAUUGACGUAAGCCCGAGAGGAAGCACCGGCUAACUCCGUGCCAGCAGCCGCGGCAAUACGGAGGGUGCGAACGUUGUUCGGAAUUACUGGGCAUAAAGAGCUCGUAGGCGGCUGUGCAAGUGUGGAGUGAAAUCCCACGGCUUACCCGUGGAACUGCUUCGCAGACGGUCGUGCUAGACAACAUCAGGGGAAGGUGGAACUCGCGGUGGAGCGGUGAAAUGCGUAGAUAUCGCGAGGAACGCCGGUGGCGAAAGCGACCUUCUGGGGUGUUUGUGACGCUGAGGCGCGAAAGCUAGGGGAGCGAACGGGAUUAGAUACCCCGGUAGUCCUAGCCCUAAACGAUGUGCACUAGGUAGUGGGACGUUUUGACGCCCCGCUGCCGGAGCAAAAGUUUUAAGUGCACCGCCUGGGGACUACGGUCGCAAGACUAAAACUCAAAGGAAUUGACGGGGGCUCACACAAGCGGUGGAGGAUGUUGCUUAAUUCGAAGCAACGCGAAGAACCUUACCCGGGUUUGACAUGCUUGAAGUAGAACCCUGAAAGGGGAACCACCGGUAUCCAAUCCGGAACUUGCACAGGUGUUGCAUGGCUGUCGUCAGCUCGUGUCGUGAGAUGUUGGGUUAAGUCCCGUAACGAGCGAAACCCUUGUCAUUAGUUGCCAGCGGGUCAUGCCGGGGACUCUAGUGAGACUGCCGGUGUUAAACCGGAGGAAGGCGGGGACGACGUCAAGUCAUCAUGGCCCUUAUGCCCGGGGCGUCACACGUACUACAAUGGCAGGUACAAAGGGAAGCAAGACCGUAAGGUGGAGCAAAUCCCACAAAGCCUGCCCCAGUUCGGAUCGAGGGCUGAAAUUCGCCCUCGUGAAGUCGGAAUCGCUAGUAAUCGCGGAUCAGCCAUGCCGCGGUGAAUGUGUUCCCGAGCCUUGUACACACCGCCCGUCAAGCCACGGAAGCU
rnacentral:rRNA from 1 species